rnacentral:rRNA from 1 species
UAGAGUGGCGCACGGGUGAGUAACACGUAGAUAAUCUACCUUCAAGCCUAGGAUAACUAUUCGAAAGGGUAGCUAAUACCGGAUAAAGUAUAUGCACAAAAGUGUAUAUAUGAAAGAUUGCCUCUGAUUUAAGCAAUUGUUUGAAGAUGAGUCUGCGGACCAUUAGCUUGUUGGUGGGGUAAAGGCCUACCAAGGCAGCGAUGGUUAGCUGGUCUGAGAGGAUGAUCAGUCACACUGGAACUGGAACACGGUCCAGACUCC